UUUAAUUCGAAGCAACGCGCAGAACCUUACCAGCCUUUGACAUCCCGCGCUACUUCCAGAGAUGGAAGGUUCCUUUCGGGGACGCGGUGACAGAUGCUGCAUGGCUGUCGUCAGCUCGGUGUCGUGAGAUGUUGGUUAAGUCCCGCAACGAGCGCAACCCUUGCCAUUAGUUGUCAGCGAGUCAUGUCGGAUACUCUAAUGGGACUGCCGGUGACGAGCCGGAGGAAGGUGGGGAUGACGUCAAGUCAGCAUGGCCUUUAUGUCCAGGGCCACACACGUGCUACAAUGGACGGUACAGAGGGACGCAAGACCGCAAGGUGGAGCAAAUCCUCAAAACCGUUCUCAGUUCGGAUUGCAGGCUGCAAUUCGCCUGCAUGAAGCUGGAAUUGCUAGUAAUCGCAGAUCAGCUACGCUGCGGUGAAUACGUUCUCGGGCCUU
rnacentral:rRNA from 1 species